UACGGAGGAUCCAAGCGUUAUCCGGAUUUAUUGGGUUUAAAGGGUGCGUAGGCGGUUUGAUAAGUUAGAGGUGAAAUCCCGUGGCUCAACCACGGAACUGCCUCUGAUACUGUCAGACUAGAGAAUAGUUGCUGUGGGCGGAAUGUGUGGUGUAGCGGUGAAAUGCUUAGAGAUCACACAGAACACCGAUUGCGAAGGCAGCUCACAAAGCUAUAUCUGACGCUGAGGCACGAAAGCGUGGGGAGCAAACAGG
rnacentral:rRNA from 1 species